rnacentral:rRNA from 1 species
GCAUAUCCAUAAGCGGAGGAAAAGAAACCAACAGGGAUUGCCUCAGUAACGGCGAGUGAAGCGGCAACAGCUCGAAUUUGAAAUCUGGCCCUUCCGGGUCCGAAUUGUAAUCUGUAGAGGACGCUUUUGGCGCGGUGCCUUCCGAGUUCCCUGGAACGGGACGCCACAGAGGGUGAGAGCCCCGUAUGGUCGGACACCAAGCCUCUAUAAAGCUCCUUCGACGAGUCGAGUAGCUUGGGAAUGCUGCUCUAAAUGGGAGGUAAACUUCUUCUAAAGCUAAAUACCGGCUAGAGACCGAUAGCGCACAAGUAGAGUGAUCGAAAGAUGAAAAGCACUUUGAAAAGAGGGUUAAACAGUACGUGAAAUUGUUGAAAGGGAAGCGCUUGUGACCAGACUUGCGCCGGGCUGAUCAUCCAGCGGUUUCCGCUGGUGCACUCGGCCCGGCUCAGGCCAGCGUCGGUUGUCGUGGGGGGACAAAAGCUCUGGGAAUGUGGCUCCCUCCGGGGAGUGUUAUAGCCCUAUGCAGAAUAUCCCCGCGGCGACCGAGGUCCGCGCCCUGCAAGGACGCUGGCGUAAUGGUCAUCAGCGACCCGUCUUGAACACCCGACC